AUUGAACGCUGGCGGCAGGCCUAACACAUGCAAGUCGAACGAGUGGCGGACGGGUGAGUAAUGCCUGGGAAACUGCCUGAUGGAGGGGGACAACUACGGGAAACGGUAGCUAAUACCGCAAACCACCAGAUGUGCCUAGAUGGGAUUAGCUAGUUGGUGGGGUAAAGGCUCACCAAGGCGACGAUCCCUAGCUGGUCUGAGAGGAGGACCGGCCACACUUGAACGUGGACAAGUUCCAGAAUCCUACGGGAGGCAGAAGUGGGGAAUAUUGCGCAAUGGGCGCAAGCCUGAUGCAGCCAUGCCGCGUGUAUGAAGAGGGCCUUCGGGUUGUAAAGUACUUUCAGCGGAGAGGCGUUACCCACAGAAGAAGCACCGGCUAACUCCGUGCCAGCAGCCGCGGUAAUUC
rnacentral:rRNA from 1 species